UAAGUCGCAUCAGUCGUGUCCGAGUUUUAGCGACCCCAUGGACUGCAGCCUACCAGGCUCCUCCGCCCAUGGGGUUUUCCAGGCAAGAUUACUGGAGUGGGGUGCCAUCGCCUUCUCCGCCCUGAAUCACUAUGUGGAGAAAAGCCAUCCACCAAGCAAAGACUCCCCAGAGUAAGAAGACUAACUUCACUGUGAAGCUUUCUACAGGCCACUGUUCCCAGUAGCACUCCAUCACAUUCCCUGAGAGUCAUGGGGAAUUUCUUCGGAACUCAGAGACCCAGACUGAUGAAGAUUUCAUCUUGAUACAGCUUCCGUGGUAACUGCAACAGAGGGAAGGGAACAUGGUGAAACACAUUCUGACUCUCAAAUAUGUUGCCUUCAUUGACCAAAGCAAAUUAGUUGGCCACAACUAACUUCAGAGAAUGUGAAGAGCAGAUCUUUCUGUCUGGGAAGAGAAAAGCCCUAGAACCAGUGGGUGAACAACAUGAAUGAACGCCCUGGGGAGGUAACCCUGCCUUCUCAGCCAACAGCAGAGCAAUAUUAACAGUUAAAAUGUGCUUGACUCAAGUUGAGCAGAAUUAAAUCUAAAGAAACCAGAUUAAUUUUAAAUUAGAACUGCAGCUAGAGAAAAAGUCAGAAUUUUAGCCCUUAUAUCAGUUCCUGUUGUGUUGUGGAAAUCUGCUUAAUAUUGACAAACUGGUUAUUAAUUAGCAAAGUGUGUAGCCUAUGAUGGUCCCUGUCAUUUCAAAUCCAUUAAGAUUCAGAAUCAAAUUCUUCAUUUUUUCUACAAAUUCAGCUCACUUUCCCAACUUCCUUAUUUUGUUUGUUGAUAACCACUAUUUGGCCAGUUUUCCAAACUAAAGACCAAGGCACAGUUUUUAUGUAAUUCACAUGUCUUGCUUCUUGAGAGCAAAAUAUGAGUAGGUCAUAUGCCUCUUAAUAUUAAAAUUAGAGGUCU